rnacentral:rRNA from 1 species
GACGAACGCUGGCGGCGUGCCUAACACAUGCAAGUCGAACGGGACCAGGGGCAACUCUGGUUCAGUGGCGGACGGGUGCGUAACACGUGAGGAACAUGACCCUUGGUCGGGGGAGUAGCCGGCCCGAACGGCCGGGUAAGUACCGCGUACGACCACAUGGGGACAUCCCUGAGUGGUGAAAGCAGCAAUGCGCCGAUGGAGUGCCUCGCGGCCUAUCAGCUAGUUGGUGAGGUAACGGCUC